rnacentral:rRNA from 1 species
UACGUAGGGGGCAAGCGUUGUCCGGAUUUAUUGGGCGUAAAAGGCUUGUAGGUGGCCACGCCAAGUCGGAUGUGAAAUCUCCCGGCUCAACUGGGAGGGGUCAUUCGAUACUGGCGGGCUCGAGGCCGGUAGGGGGAAGUGGAAUUCCCGGUGUAGUGGUGGAAUGCGUAGAUAUCGGGAGGAACACCAGUGGCGAAGGCGGCUUCCUGGACCGGUUCUGACACUGAGGAGCGAAAGCGUGGGGAGCGAUC